rnacentral:rRNA from 1 species
GACAGAGGGGGCAAGCGUUGCUCGGAAUUACUGGGUGUAAAGGGCGCGUAGGCGGGAUGGCAAGUCGGUCGUGAAAUCCUUCGGCUCAACCGAAGAACGUCGAUCGAUACUGCUGUUCUUGAGUACUGCAGGGGAGACUGGAAUUCCUGGUGUAGCGGUGGAAUGCGCAGAUAUCAGGAGGAACACCGGUGGCGAAGGCGGGUCUCUGGGCAGUAACUGACGCUGAGGAGCGAAAGCGUGGGGAGCGAACAGG